GCCGCCCGCGACUCUGCGAGAAGUCCAUUGAACCUUAUCAUUUAGAGGAAGGAGAAGUCGUAACAAGGUUUCCGUAGGUGAACCUGCGGAAGGAUCAUUG
rnacentral:rRNA from 1 species